UCCGUAGGUGAACCUGCGGAGGGAUCAUUACUGAG
rnacentral:rRNA from 6 species